ACACCUCAGGUGGGAAGGCUGGGUGCAGCUCUGCUCAGGAGCUGGAGUGGCUUUGGAGUUUCCCCAAACACCAGAACAGACAAAGCUUCCUCCCAAUGGGAUCUGUGAGUCCGGGCUUGAUGAUGUGCAUUAAGACAAAAGUUCCAGAAAGGACCAUCAUGCAGCUUUGGUACACUGCAAGGAAAGGAAGAUUGGAUUCCAGGAGCAUAAAACUGUGGGAUGUGUGAAGGAACAAUGGUUAUCAGGCACCUUAUUCCACUGGCUGUCUCUGGGAGCUGAGAAAUCAGUUUUAGGAUUUUCACACCUUCCUGUAAAGGAGAAGAGCCAGAAAUACUGUGUAAACAAGCUCAUUGAGAUGACUAGAUGAGAUUUCUUCUUUUGCAUCAGCAUUUCUUUUGGAAGUCUAGACUACAGAAUCAUUAUCAAGUAGACUCAAGAGCAAACAAGCACUGAGAAAAAAAAAAAGGCAAGUAGAUGCAUGAGAAAUGUUAUAAAUAUAAAGAAAUUAGUUCAAAACAAUCAUCAAAAAAUCGUAUCUGAGAUAAGUUAAUUCAUGUACUUUGAAAAGUCUGUCCUAACUGUGGGCACCUCCAUCUGGGUUGUUGCUGCUGUGUG